GACAGAGGGUGCAAACGUUGUUCGGAAUUACUGGGCGUAAAGCGCGUGUAGGCGGCUAUGUAAGUCGGGCGUGAAAUCCCACGGCUCAACCGUGGAAGUGCACCCGAAACUGCGUAGCCAGAGUCCUGGAGAGGAAGGUGGAAUGCUUGGUGUAGAGGUGAAAUUCGUAGAUAUCAAGCGGAACACCGGUGGCGAAGGCGGGUCUCUGGGCAAUUCCUGACGCUGAGGCGCGAAAGCGUGGGGAGCAAACGGG
rnacentral:rRNA from 1 species